UCUAGGUGUGUAUACCAGGUAGUAUAACUCUCUAGGUGUGUAUACCAGGUAGUAUAACUCUCUAGGUGUGUAUACCAGGUAGUAUAACUCUAGGGUAGACUCUAGGUGUGUGUACCAGGUAGUAUAACUCUCUAGGUGUGUGUGUACCAGGUAGUAUAACUCUCUAGGUGUGUAUACCAGGUAGUAUAACUCUCUAGGUGUGUAUACCAGGUAGUAUAACUCUAGGGUAGCCUCUAGGUUUGUGUACCAGGUAGUAUAACUCUCUAGGUGUGUGUGUACCAGGUAGUAUAACUCUCUAGGUGUGUAUACCAGGUAGUAUAACUCUCUAGGUGUGUGUGUACCAGGUAGUAUAACUCUCUAGGUGUGUAUACCAGGUAGUAUAACUCUCUAGGUGUGUAUUACCAGGUAGUAUAACUCUCUAGGUGUGUAUAUACCAGGUAGUAUAACUCUCUAGGUGUGUAUACCAGGUAGUAUAACUCUCUAGGUGUGUAUACCAGGUAGUAUAACUCUCUAGGUGUGUCUAGGUGUGUAUACCAGGUAGUAUAACUCUCUAGGUGUGUGUACCAGGUAGUAUAACUCUCUAGGUGUGUGUGUGUGUGUGUGUAUACCAGGUAGUAUAACUCUCCAGGUGUGUAUACCAGGUAGUAUAACUCUCUAGGUGUGUAUAUACCAGGUAGUAUAACUCUCUAGGUGUGUAUAUACCAGGUAGUAUAAGUCUCUAGGUGUGUAUAUACCAGGUAGUAUAACUCUCUAGGUGUGUAUAUACCAGGUAGUAUAACUCUCUAGGUGUGUAUAUACCAGGUAGUAUAACUCUCUAGGUGUGUAUAUACCAGGUAGUAUAACUCUCUAGGUGUGUAUAUACCAGGUAGUAUAACUCUCUAGGUGUGUAUAUACCAGGUAGUAUAACUCUCUAGGUGUGUAUAUACCAGGUAGUAUAACUCUCUAGGUGUGUAUAUACCAGGUAGUAUAACUCUCUAGGUGUGUAUAUACCAGGUAGUAUAACUCUCUAGGUGUGUAUAUACCAGGUAGUAUAACUCUCUAGGUGUGUAUAUACCAGGUAGUAUAACUCUCUAGGUGUGUAUAUACCAGGUAGUAUAACUCUCUAGGUGUGUAUAUACCAGGUAGUAUAACUCUCUAGGUGUGUAUAUACCAGGUAGUAUAACUCUCUAGGUGUGUAUAUACCAGGUAGUAUAACUCUCUAGGUGUGUGUAUACCAGGUAGUAUAACUCUCUAGGUGUGUAUACCAGGUAGUAUAACUCUCUAGGUGUGUAUACCAGGUAGUAUAACUCUCUAGGUGUGUAUACCAGGUAGUAUAACUCUCUAGGUGUGUGUACCAGGUAGUAUUGCUCUAGGUGUGUGUGUACCAGGUAGUAUAACUCUCUAGGUGUGUGUGUACCAGGUAGUAUAACUCUCUAGGUGUGUGUGUACCAGGUAGUAUAACUCUCUAGAUGUGUGUACCAGGUAGUAUUACUCUCUAGGUGUGUAUACCAGGUAGUAUAACUCUCUAGGUGUGUAUACCAGGUAGUAUUGCUCUCUAGGUGUGUGUGUACCAGGUAGUAUAACUCUCUAGAUGUGUAUACCAGGUAGUAUUGCUCUAGGGUAGACUCUAGGUGUGUGUGUACCAGGUAGUAUAACUCUCUAGGUGUGUAUACCAGGUAGUAUUGCUCUAGGGUAGACUCUAGGUGUGUGUGUACCAGGUAGUAUAACUCUCUAGGUGUGUGUGUACCAGGUAGUAUAACUCUCUAGGUGUGUGUGUACCAGGUAGUAUUGCUCUAGGGUAGACUCUAGGUGUGUAUACCAGGUAGUAUUGCUCUAGGGUAGACUC
rnacentral:lncRNA from 8 species